rnacentral:rRNA from 1 species
CAGCGGAGGGAUCAUUACCGAGUUUUACAACUCCCAAACCCAUGUGAACAUACCUACUGUUGCUUCGGCGGGAUUGCCCCGGGCGCCUCGUGUGCCCCGGAUCAGGCGCCCGCCUAGGAAACUUAAUUCUUGUUUUAUUUUGGAAUCUUCUGAGUAGUUUUUACGAAUAAAUAAAAACUUUCAACAACGGAUCUCUUGGUUCUGGCAUCGAUGAAGAACGCAGCGAAAUGCGAUAAGUAAUGUGAAUUGCAGAAUUCAGUGAAUCAUCGAAUCUUUGAACGCACAUUGCGCCCGCCAGUAUUCUGGCGGGCAUGCCUGUCUGAGCGUCAUUUCAACCCUCAUGCCCCUAGGGUGUGGUGUUGGGGAUCGGCCAAAGCCCGCGAGGGACGGCCGGCCCCUAAAUCUAGUGGCGGACCCGUCGUGGCCUCCUCUGCGAAGUAGUGAUAUUCCGCAUCGGAGAGCGACGAGCCCCUGCCGUUAAACCCCCAACUUUCCAAGGUUGACCUCAGAUCAGGUAGGAAUACCCGCUGAACUUAAGCAUAUCAAUAAGCGGAGGAA